rnacentral:rRNA from 1 species
GACAGAGGGUGCAAACGUUGUUCGGAUUUACUGGGCGUAAAGGGCUCGUAGGUGGCCAACUAAGUCAGACGUGAAAUCCCUCGGCUUAACCGGGGAACUGCGUCUGAUACUGGAUGGCUUGAGUUCGGGAGAGGGAUGCGGAAUUCCAGGUGUAGCGGUGAAAUGCGUAGAUAUCUGGAGGAACACCGGUGGCGAAGGCGGCAUCCUGGACCGACACUGACACUGAGGAGCGAAAGCCAGGGGAGCAAACGGG